rnacentral:rRNA from 1 species
AUGACACGCUCCUCACGGCGGCCCUGCGGCCGCCACCUAGAUGGAAUGGGACUGCAAGACAAAAUUCAAGAAAACAGUACAAAAGAUAAAGAACCCAUUGCAGCAAUUGCACCCUUGAGCUGCUGUGGGAGUGACGCCGAAGGAAGUGCAGUUGGAAAUUUUGAAGGAUUAAAACAUCCAGAACGAAAACGAAAAACUGGUCGACCAACCACUAGCAGGGACAAGCCUCCAUAUCAUGAUCGAGGCGCAAAAAGCAAGAAGUACAAGCGAGCACCAAACGCAGAAGAUGCAAAUAGAUGUGGUACAAGUAAACGGACUCGCUUUUGCAGUAUACAUGCCGGAAAUCAGGGCACAAGAGCAGCACAUGCCCCGUCCGAGGAGAUCUUCCUCAGAAGGAAAGGAAAGAGGCGAAAUGCUCAAACUGUGGUGUUGGUGGGCACAGGAGAAACACAUGCAACAAGCCAAAAGUUGUUCUGCAUAUGGUCGAGAAAAUAG